CCACGCUGUCUGAGUUCCUCCAGCACUGCUCGACUGGUACCACCUUCUCUCAGAAUGAGAGAAUCCUUUUUCCCUGAGAAGAGCUUAAAUCCUGUGGAAUUGGUCCAGAGCUUCAGUUGGGUAACACCUGCAGUAAAGCUUUCCCACCUGUGCAAUAAGCAAUAAGCCAACAGCAGCUGCGAGUGAGGAAGAUCAGAAGAUCGGGCGGUGAUGACAGGGCAGUGGGGUAAUUGAAGGGGAUCACACAACUUGAGACAAUGACGGUAGCUGAAGCAGAAAGGAGCUUUUUAAAGCAAAAACUAAUCAACGGGGAAAACGUUGGAUCAUUGCAUGGUUCAUCCAGAGCCUCAUUCAAGCUCGAACCACUAUUGCCGGUUAGUGGUAUCUACUUAGCAUAACAUACAUUUCAGUGUCAGAUUAACAUCAAGCAGAACAUUUAGAGAGGAAUAAAUGA